rnacentral:rRNA from 1 species
AUACGUAGGUGACAAGCGUUAUCCGGAUUUACUGGGCGUAAAGGGCGUGUAGGCGGUCUUGCAAGUCAGAAGUGAAAUUCCUGAGCUCAACUCGGGCGCUGCUUCUGAAACUGCAGGACUUGAGUGCUGGAGGGGAUAGCGGAAUUCCUAGUGGAGCGGUAAAAUGCGCAGAUAUUAGGAAGAACACCGGUGGCGAAGGCGGCUAUCUGGACAGUAACUGACGCUGAGGCGCGAAAGCUGGGGGAUGAAACAGGAUUAGAUACCCUGGUAGGCCACGGCGUAAACGAUGAAUACUAGGUGUAGGGGGUAUCGACUCCCUCUGUGCCGCAGUUAACACAAUAAGUAUUCCGCCUGGGGAGUACGGCCGCAAGGUUGAAACUCAAAGGAAUUGACGGGG